ensembl:lncRNA
GCAUGCAUCUGCUCCAGACAUGUGUGUCCUCUGUUAAACACGUGAAGCAUGCGUGGCUCCGUCUGUCAUCUCCACAUGCAAUUAUGACUGAAUCCUGCAGCAGUCAGCGCAUAUAUCAGAUGUCAAGAGAAUGCACUAAUAUAACGUAUUUUCUUGUCAUGAAGUGAUUUGAGAGUUAGCAAAGAGAACAUUUUAGCAAGUGCCAUGAUGCAUCAAGCCAUUACAUUAUAAAAAAUUAGCGAGAUGCAUUAAUAAAAGGCGCAGUUUUUCCUGACAACACACACGAUCUGGUGCAAUGGUUCUUUUCUCUGGGAAUGGAUGCUCGCUUUGUCUCUCUCUCUCUCUCUCUCUCUCUCUCUCGGCCCCUCCCCUCAUGUUCUCUAUCUCAUUCUCUCGCGCUCAGUCCAUCAUUCUUUCGGCUCUCGGGUCUCGGUGCUUGUUUGCUGACGAACAGAAUCGCUAAAGGAUGUAAAUGAAUGAAAGGAAAGAGCUGAAACAAAAGCAAACGAACCACAAUGGAGGAGCGUUUAGCUGUGCGUGUGAUGCUGCAGAGCCUCCUCUAACUUUCAUCCUUCACUUUCAUUUGGAGCUGAAGACACGAGGACACGUUUCAGCUCGUGUCGAAAGCGUCUUGUGGAUGUUGAGCUCUGCUUCGGUCCACACAGGUAAAGCAUCUUCAGUUCAAUCCACUGCCACUGAAUCUGUUUCACAAACUCAAAGCACAGACAACAACGGCUACUGUAAAUAUUCUACAAGAAUCAUAUAUUGUAAUAUGUAUUUCAUAAAGACAAUUUUAUGGUGCAGUUUGCCUAAUUUGAUUUAGUUUGAUUCACAUAUCUAAAACAGAAUUAGGUUGUUAAUGCAUUGUGUGUGUGUGUGUGUGUGUGUGUGUGUGUGUGUGUGGUUUGGUUUUCAUCUCUCUGGAUCUACAGUCAGUAGUUUGUGCUAUCAAUGAAUGCAUACUCCCAGAUGUAUGGUUUAUUUAAUCUCUGAGAUGAACAUAACUACCAAAACAUCAGAAUAAACUCAGAGUAAAGGUUACUUGCUUAAAAACC